AUAUUUUUUAUGGGCACUUAUGAAACUCAAAUAAAAAACUCAGAACAUAUGCCAGAAAGAACAUUAUAUAGAGCAUAUUUUCAAAAUAUUCAUAUCAAAAAGAUGAUCUGGUGAUUUUUGGAGAAUUUUUCCGUCAAGCAGAGAUAAUCUGUUUCUGGACACCAUGUCACAAGUUUUGAAAUUUCUUGCAAUCGGAGGCUAAAACUUGGCACAAAGCUUGAAAAAUAAAGAUACAAUGAUGUUGCUACAGUAGUAACAAGCAUCAAGACCACUAAAACUGAAAGUAAAAACA
rnacentral:lncRNA from 1 species